CAAUUAUUUUCAUACAUUUUCAGGUACAAGAUGAUGCUGGUGACCUCCAUGGCCUAAGUCAGCCGACAGUGAGCCGGAUAUGCGCCAGAGUCGCGCAUGCAAUCGCGAAUAAGGCAAAUUCCUUCAUCAAAAUGCCUAUCACUAUAGGAGAGCAGGAAAGAAUUAGUGCCAAAUUUAGAGCAAUUAAAAAUUUUCCUGGGGUGAUAGGAGCCAUAGAUUGCACCCACAUUAAAAUUAAAAAAACCGGAGGUGACAUGGCCCAGUACUAUAUUAAUAGAAAAGGCUAUUAUUCCCUGAAUGUUCAGGUUGUCUGUGAUGCUGACCUCAAAAUAAUGGAUAUAGUGGCUAGAUGGCGAGGCAGUACACAUGACAGUCGAAUUUUUAUGGAGAGCAAUAUAAAACAACGAUUUGAGGAUAGGCAGUUUAGAGGACGCCUUAUUGGCGAUUCGGGCUACCCUCUUCUGCCAUAUCUAUUUACACCUAUUUUAAGGCCUAGUCGUCCAGAAGAAGAAGCAUACAAUAAUGCUCACAUCUCAACUAGGAACACUGUUGAAAGGUGUUUUGGGGUGUGGAAGCAGCGGUUCCAAUGCCUACUCCAUGGCUUACCAGUAAGCCUCCAAAAUGGAAAAGCUGUGAUCAUAGCAUUGGCUGUAUUACAUAAUAUAGCCAUUGAUAUGAAUGACACAUUGUUAGAACAACAUAUGGAGCAGGUCCCUGUAACUCCGCAACUUUCGACGGAGAACAGUGUUCACGACAACCGACCUUCAUUGUUGAGGCGUAGGUCGCAGUUGAUACUACAAAAUUUUAUAAAUCAACAUUUUUGAAUGAUACUGUUCCUGGCAUCUUAAUGAAAAUAAAAAG